AGCCAGAAAGUUGGGAGAUGUCUGAUGCCAACAUAAUGCGCUUACAAGGUAAUAGGUGAACUUUAAAGGCAGAGCUUUGCCGUAAUCAGCAUGGUGGCGCAGUGGGUAGUGCUGCUGCCCCUCAGUAAGGAGACUUGGGUUCGCCUCCCUGCGUGGAGUUUGCAUGUUCUCCCCAUGUCUGCGUGGGUUUCCUCCCACAGUCCAAAGACAUGCAGGUUAGGUGCAUUGGCAAUCCUAAAUUGUCCCUAGUGUGUGCUUGGUGUGUGUGCCCUGCGGUUUACUGCCUUGCUCCCGGUGUUGGCUGGGAUUGGCUCCAGCAGACCCCCGUGACCCUGUAGUUAGGAUAUAGUGUGUUGGACAGUAACUGACUGACUGGCUUUGCCAUAAUGGGUAUAAUCUGACAAGUGGAGUCGCUCUAGAAGAUGCACUCCUACCAUGUCUGAGACGUUGUGUCGAAAUGGCGGUAGUGGUUCAGGCCUCUGCCAGCCUGACAGGAUCAGCAACAAGUGUUGAUCAAACAGUAAGAACAUUCAGAUCUUGUGUCCUAGAAGAGUCUCCGGCCUCUACGUUCAAGUUUGUUGUCAUGUGUAUAUUAAACAAUGACAUUUUUACUUGCAUGUCUUCACAGAAAAGUUGUCAAUAAUACCAGCAAAACAUACACACACACACACACAAUGUAUGUAACCUAAAAUGAAUUUAUAUACAAUAUACAGUAUAUUUGCAAAGAUUUCUUUACAUACAUACAGUGUGUGCUAUGCUCAGACAUAUUCUUAUGACUAGCUGUUCAGUUACCUUAUGACCUGUAGACAGAAACUGUCUCUGAGUCUACUGGUGUGAUGCCAAUGGAGAGGAGUGGGAACAGGGGCUGUGCAGGAUGGCAGAAGUCUUUACUACUCCAGUUUGCCUUUCUAAGAAAUUGAGUGAUGUUUAUUAUGUCAUGAACAGAAGGCACCUCAUCAUGCAUUCACCUGGUCAAACUAUAGAAAGAAAGAAAUGCGGGCCACGCUGACCUCUGGUCAGAUCAGGCUAAACAGCACAGAGUCAGAUUCAUUCAGAUGAGAGGUUCAUGCCAUGUCAGAGUUAAUAAAGAAAGAAACGUGGGAUACCGACUUAUGAUCAGAUCAGACUAAACAAUUCAGAGUCAAGUUCCAGUAGUUGAAGGGCUCAGGUCAAGCUAAGUAAAAUAAAAAAAAAACAUGCAGGACAAUGACACACAAUCAGAUCAGACAAAAUGGCACAGGGUAGGGUUGUUGUAGUUGAGAGGGCUCAAGCCAAAUCAGACUAUACAGCAAAAGAAAUGCGCGGGCCAGUGACGUAUGAUCGGAUCAGACUAAAGAGUUCACACUUGAGUCUCUGUAGCUGAAGGACUCAUGCCAGACCAGAGUUGGGUAAACGUGGCUCAGCAGUCUUAUGCUAGAAAGAAAGAAAGAAAGAAAGAAAGAAAGAAAGAAAGAAAGAAAUGUGGGCCAAUUACCUUUAAUCUGAUCAGAAUAAAUUGUACAGAGCAGGGUUGUUGUACUUAAGAGGACUCAAGCCGAUUCAGACUAUACAGCAAAGGAAAUGCAGGCCACUGAUGUAUGAUCAGAUCAGACUAAAGAGUUCAUACGUGGGUUCUUGUAGCUGAAGGGCUGGGGUCAGGUAAGACUAAAUAAAAAAUGAAAUGCAGGACACUAACCUACAAUCAGAUCUGACAAAAUGGCACAGAGUAGGGUUGUUGUACUUAAGAGGACUCAAGCCGAUUCAGACUAUACAGCAAAGGAAAUGCAGGCCACUGAUGUAUGAUCAGAUCAGACUAAAGAGUUCAUAGUUGAGUUCCUGUAGCUGAAGAGCUCAUGCCAGAUCAGACCAGAUUUGGGUAAAUGUGACUCAGAAGAAAGAAAGAAAGAAAGAAAGAAAGAAAGAAAGAAAGAAAGAAAGAAAGAAAGAAAGAAAGAAAGAAAGAAAGAAAGAAAGAAAGAAAGAAAUGUGGGUCAAUGAUCUCUGAUCAGAUCAGACUAAAGGGCACUUACACUUAAAGAGGGCUCC